GUAGGUAUGUAUUUACAAUAUAACAUAAUAUAGUAGGAAAGUUUAUUUUUUUUUUUUUUUUUUAACAAUUUCUCUGGUCAUCGGAGAACCACACAUAUAUUAUAUGCACACGUAUAUCGAUAAUGUUAUCAUAAUACAAACGCGAUAUUAUCUUAUACGAUAUAAUAUAUAAAUAUAUAAUAUGGUACUUUAGCUAAAAUUAACGGCCGGUAUAAUGUUUAUAAUAAUAAUAAUAAUACAAGUAUAGGUAAAACGAUAUAUUAAAUUCGAAAAAAGUAUACAAUAUUUAAAAGGUCUUUGAUUUGUUUUUUUUUUUUUCAAUUAUCGUACUGUAUGUGUGUGUGUGUUUUAAACGUUGAUUGUUAUUGUGUUUUGUACAUAAUACGAAAACCUUAUGGUUUUUUUUUGUUUGGUUUUUUUUGUUUUUUUUGUUCAUCUAUGAAUAAUACAUAUACAUAUACUUGUAAAAUACACAUGAUAUGACGCGUACAAGUAUAUCGGUUUGGUUUCGAAAAUUGUUGUUUAAAAAAAUAAAAUAAAUUAUAGCUAAAGGAACUAAUCGACUUUUAUUAUUCUUUCUUUAUAAUAUUAUUAAGAAUAUUACAUUAUUAUAUUAUAUAUAUAUAUGUACCUAGUUUAAUAAUAUACCACUACAGUUAUAUACUGCAAUUAUUGUAUAGUAUUAUGUGUAUAAUUUAAUAUUAUACAUUAUAAUGUAAUCGAUAAAUAAAAUUAAAAAAUAAUGUAUAUUAUAAUAUUGUUAUGAUUAAUGUUAGUAAAUGUAUACUCGAAAAAAUAUAAAGUAAAAAAAAAAAAAAAAAAAAAAAAAAAAAUACAUAAAAAUAUAAUAAUGAAAAAUAUUAAACGUACGAUAAUAUAAUUAUUACAAUACGGUAUUAAUAAUUGUCAGCGCAAUAAUUAUUAUCAAAAAUACAUAAUACAUAGAGAGUUAAUAAUACAAUAAAAUAAAUUAAGUUCUUUCGGUUUUUUCCCGGUUCAAAAAUACUCAUCUCGUAUUCGAAAUGGAUGCGAAAAUAAUAUUACAGGACGGAGGCGCGGCGGCGUAUAAGGGCGGGACCGGGGGCAAGGGUUCGGUUGUAGGCCUCCGCGAAUAGUAAUAAAAAAAAAAAAAAACAACAGCUUUGUGAGAAAAAAAUUGGGUCUCCCCCCCCCCCCCCGUAGACUUAGUCCUGACGAAUUUGUGAAAAAAGAAGACGUACGGUUCUAACGAAGUUACAGUUGUAGGCGGUUGACGGAGUCUUUGGGUUUUUGAAGGUGGACGUUUUGGCGUGACAAUGCGCUAGCUCGGAUAUUGAAGGGAGAAAGGGGAGGGAGUAAUAAAUAUUAUCGUCGAAAAAUUGCUUACGGAUCUCCAUACGCGUCGCGUAUUGUGUUUCUAUUGUAAAGUUUUUUUUUUUGGUUUUUUUUUUUGAUUUUUUUUCACGAAAAUCGUAACUCCUGUGCCUUCUCUGACCUUUUCCCGUGCGGCCCUCCGUCCCGUUUCGUCCUAAACGCGCCGCCCGCACCGACGAGCGUGUGUAAUAAUAGUUUAUAAUAUUAUAAUAAAUAGUGUGUAAUCAUAUUUUUUUUUUUACGUUCGAAAAUGUACUUGACGUAUAUACUAUGUAUAUAGUAAU